UACGUAGGGUGCAAGCGUUAAUCGGAAUUACUGGGCGUAAAGGGCGCGUAGGCGGUCGUGACAAGUCACUUGUGAAAUCUCCGGGCUUAACUCGGAACGGUCAAGUGAUACUGUCGGACUAGAGUACAGAAGGGGCAACUGGAAUUCUCGGUGUAGCGGUGAAAUGCGUAGAUAUCGAGAGGAACACCUGCGGCGAGGGCGGGUUGCUGGGCUGAUACUGACGCUGAGGCGCGAAAGCCAGGGGAGCGAACGGG
rnacentral:rRNA from 1 species